AAUUGUCUGUUCUCUACAUGUCUGACCAUCUGUCUUCUAAAGUCUGAAAAGGUUUUUUUAUCUUUAAGAAUCCAGCAUAGAUUCUUACAGACAAAAAAGCUAGACUAGAAAAACAGAACAUUAGAUCAAGACAAUUUUUAUUCUAUUGACACGAUCCGAAGCAAAACCUUUUCCAAUUCCUCCAAAAAGUCUUUAACCUUUGCAUCUACAAAAAAACUCUAAACGUCAUCCAACAUUCUUAAUCUGUAGACGAUCUUCACGCAAUGUCAGAAGUAAGAACACAAUGCUAUACAAAAUUCAAAGAAAAAUGUUAUUAACAGUGAAUGGAUUACUUCUUUAUAUGAAAGCUUACAGCUGACGUUCAUGUGUUUCUGUAUCUGCUACCCUCGCAUGUGCUGCUACCCUUCCAUCCUGUGCCCCUGUUUAUCGUGCCUUCCCAUGUGCAUUAAAGGAAUGAAAUGCUGCCAGUGCUUAAUUCUUCAUUUAGAUGAUGAUAACGACGUUGUAAAGAAAGAAAGUAGAACCAAAGCAAUCCAGAAUAAGUCUAGUGCUCAAAACGUUACAAAAUAAUAAAGACUGUUUCAUC